UACGGGGGGGGCAAGCGUUGUUCGGAAUUACUGGGCGUAAAGGGCUCGUAGGCGGCCAACUAAGUCAGACGUGAAAUCCCCAGGCUCAACCUGGGAACUGCGUCUGAUACUGGAUGGCUUGAAUCCGGGAGAGGGAUGCAGAAUUCCAGGUGUAGCGGUGAAAUGCGUAGAUAUCUGGAGGAAUACCGGUGGCGAAGGCGGCAUCCUGGACCGGCAUUGACGCUGAGGAGCGAAAGCUAGGAGAGCAAACGGG
rnacentral:rRNA from 1 species